GCCUCAGUAGCCCAGUGGUAGAGCGUUUGCCUAGUAUGCGUGCUAGCAAAAGGUCCAGUGUUCGACUCACUGUUGAGGCA
rnacentral:tRNA from 3 species